UGUAGCUCAGUAGGUAGAGUGCUUGCCUAGUAUGUAGUAAAGCCUUGGGAUGUGAGAAGAUCUGGGUUUGAUUCCCAGCA
rnacentral:tRNA from 1 species